UCAAGUUCACGUCAGAGCGAAGAUGAGCCUCGAGGCGUGACAGUUAUUUUUUCAAACUGAGGAGUUCGGACUCCGGACCGGCAUUUCUGCUUGUUUGUACCCUGAGAUGCUGCAUGGAAUGACAAUGUGGUUUGGAACAGACUUGGUGAAGAACAUGGAAACAUCUCUUAAUAAAAUGGCCCCAAACAUCAUCAGGAGUGCAAAAGAAGGAAGUAAAAAACAUCUCUACGCCAAUCUCAUUGGAGAGGAAACCACAGAAGGUCUGGUGAGGAAUGCUGCACUUAUGUUAUUGCAAGCAUUAUUUCAAGAAAAUCCCAGCUUCCUUGACUGUGUAAAUAGUGAACCCAAAGGUCCCACAUCAACCAUAGUGUUCAACGGCUCUCCUGAUCUUCUCAAAUCUGAAAGUAUCAACUUUAUAAUGGACAAUGUGAACUUAAUGUGGAAGACAUUGACAUCACAGGCUGUGGAAUGACUGUGUCACAGGUCGGAGAAGCGGACCGCCCCUGUCGCGGAUCACGCUCCUCCUAGUUCCACCUCGAGGAGGUCCCAAAGCACCCCAAUGACCAGACAAACCAGAGAUAAGUAAAAUAUAGAAAUAGAAACAUUAUUUAAAUUAUUUAAAACUAAAGUGGGGAAUGGGAAAGGGAAUCUAAAAAUCUCGCUUCUCGCCCUCAGGGGGAGUAUUACGGGGCCAGGGACGUUGGAGGGGUUUCCACGUGACUCCAGCUGGAACACCGCUACAGAGCGUAUCUGGGUGGGUUGGGCACACACCGUCGCGGCGGCCCCUGAUGGCAUCCACAAAGGUCCAAGACCCUCCUAAGCUCCUAGCCGUAGCAGAACUACGUAUUUCAGCACCCGAAGGACUAACAACCCAGCCGGCAUCUGCAGCGUAUAUCCAACGCGAUCAAACUUCACUCUGACAAGUAACUUCCUAUACACAACCACGCCGUCCUUUCGCCCGGACCAGCCCCGCACUCUUUCCGCCCGCUACCUAGCGGUCGCCGGAUCAGCAGAGCCUGCGGACUCUUCGGAGGCUGGUCUUCGUUGUGCUGCCCAAGGCGGAAGUUGACUCGCCCGAAAAUCGACCCUUCCAGUAACUUCUACCUUCUCUCUUUAUAUCCUCCUCCAUGGCGUGGCUCGCCCAACCAUCGCUCGCCACGUCACUCACACAGCUGUGCCUUGUUUCAGCGAGUGCGGGGAUUCCCGGGGAACCCGGAAGUGCCGGUGUCUGUACAAACCGGUCCGGGCGGAACCUCUUCACUCUCCUUUUGGUUCCGCCCCGCAUAGUCACUCCGUGACAACUGUUUGCGUUUUUUUUUUCUCCUCAAUGUUCAAUACCCUUUUGCCAUUAAGCACACAGUGACUUUAAUUUAUAAAAUAUAUGCUUAAGUUUUAAUACCUGUACAAAACAAAUGUACAAUCAACUUGUGUAAAUUGUCAUUCUAUUUAAUAGAUUGUUCAUGAAUUGUC